CUUUCCACUGAAAAAUCAAAACAAUAGAAACAUUAGACGCCACACAAAGAACAUCUAAUCAGCUUAUCCUCUUCACUAGUACCCACACACUUUAAAUCCUUUAGGAGAAACAACAUCCCACUUGCUUUUUAAACUACGUCUAAAAAAAACAAACUAUUUUUAAAAGGAAUAAUUCUACACUUUGGGGAAUAGGCUGAUUUCCUUUCUUUUGUCAAAUAAGCAUAUUUUAAUAAACUAUUACUUUAAAACAAAACUAAAAGCUUGAAACUGUAACAAUGCAUCUGUCCUGUUGUUGUCGUUGAAACAGCUAAGAGACUGCAUGUUGCAACAUAUUGUUCCAAAGUAAUGACAAAAUCAUUGAUCGUUUGGUUGUGUUGGCACUCUGCCAGCACAACGCAAGCUUCUAUAAAAUUCCUUUCAUCUGUGGACUUUGCAAUUAAUCCUGAUAGUGAUUCUGAUAAUUGCAGCAUAUUUGUGGUAUGAUUUAAUAUGCAAACAAAUUCAACUAAUAUGUGACCGACACGGUUCUAUAUUCGUGAGAAUUGCAUAGCUGACUUGUUUUUAUUAACCUUGUAGCCAAACCCAGAAUGCAUGUGAAAGGUUUCUCCCUCUUUAAGACUUACGAAGAAGGCAGCUAUGGUUACACGUUAACCACAGACUCUCUGUGCUUCGACAGUAUACAUUUACCAAUUAUUUCAGAGCUACAAGGCUAAAAAAAAAAAA